GUUUUAUUAUGCCGGUGGGAGAGCUCUCUUCCUUCAGCAUGCAGCGUCUUCCUGAGAUGUGCUGCAGCAACACAGCUGCAUUGGUUAUCGCUAUACCUGUAGACAUGCCCAUAGACAGUGAGAGGUGGUUGGAAGAAUUCUGUUCACCACAUUCCCGCCUCUCAGCGAAGUGGAUGGGAGGGAUUCUCCCAUCAGUGUAGGUAGUGUCUACACUGAUGGGGUAUGCAGUCUUGCAGCCACACCGCUGUACCUUUUCAAGUGUAGACAAGCCCUGAGAGAGGGGCCUUCUUUUUAAUUCAACAGAGGUACAUGAUCUGUUAUCCAAGGGGGACCCGAGCCUGUGGAAAGGAUGGCAGGACUGAGGCCUGCCACGGUCCUCAGGGCUGAUGUGCGACUUCUGGUACUUUUAAUAUGUGUUUAGCUUUUGGUGUUGUUUUAUAUGUUUUCUUUGUGUCUUUAAAUAAAUGUCCUGUGCUUUGAGUGAGCCGGUUGGUGACUGGCAAAACAGCGUCCUUGGGGAGAAAAGCAACACGUGCAGGCUGGACUUUGCCCAGAGAGAGGUGAUCGCUAGAAACCUGAGAGGGCUCUUCUGGACCAGAUCGUGGAAGGAUGAGUCAAAGGUCUUUCCGGUUGAUGGCUUCCAGCACUGUUGUGGUCACCUCCAGCGCAUAAUCCAUUGUGUAGUAUCUGAUCAAGAGGACAACUCCCCACACCCUGAAGGAUGAACUAACGGGUGGGAGGAUCAGACCCUGAUGCAGGAUGUUUCACGUCCCCUGGAACAGGAAAAAGAAAAGGAGAGGACCCUGUCUCAAAAGCCCAGUGAGCAUAAGCUGUCAAGGAGGAAAGGAGAAUUGACAAUUUCAGGAAGAGCAGAGAGGUUGAAGGAUGAGGCCGGAGCAGAGAGACCCCAAGAUCUGAGGAGAAAGGGGCUAUGAAAGAUCCUAAUGAGAGCUGUUUCAAUGGAGUGGAAACAUCGGGAGCCAGAGAAUAACGGUUCAAGAUGGAGCUGGAAAAGAGGAAUUUGAUCCAUUAGUUGUCAACAGUCCAUUUGGUCUUUCUGGUUGAUGGCUUCCAGCACUGUUGUGGUCACCUCCAGCGCAUAAUCCAUUGUGUAGUGUCCAAUCAAGAGGACAACUCCCCACACCCUGAAGGAUGAACUAACUGGUGGGAGGAUCAGACCCUGAUGCAGGAUGUUCCACAUCCCCUGGAAGAGGAAAAAGCUAGAAUGGCGCAGGUGUUUCACACUCUCCAUCCCUAAAGAGAGCAAAGUCCUUCAAACACGGCAAGGAGGUGAAGGAGGCAAGAAGAGUGGCCAGAGACUAAACCCCAUUCUUAUAGGUGUGUCUUCACUGCAGCAUUAGUCCAGGCUACUACCCAGGAGCUGCCCUAACCUGCUUCCCAGCCACACACAGAAACCUCGCAUUUGGAUUUAGUGGUGCUUUAAACCCAGGAAACGUUCUGCUCCCCCCGAGUGAGCCGCUCCCCACAUGGACAGGCUUUGGGAGCUAUCAGGAGACAGAAACAAACCCUCUCCCAUAAGAAGGAGACUGUUUGCUUCCUUGUUGGAUUGAUGCAGCAAGAAAUAACGCUUCUUGGAUGUCGGACUCCUCCCUCAGAGUGUGAGUAGCCCCACAUCUAUCUCGCCCCAUACACAGGCCUUCUUCUCUCCCUCGACCUCCCUUUCCAACACCCCUUGUCUCUUUCCCUCCUUCGCAGUAUGCAGGGGCGGCUCUAGGUAUUUUGCUGCCCCAAGCACGGCAGGCAGGCUGCCUUUGGCGGCUUGCCUGCAGGAGGUCCCCAG